rnacentral:rRNA from 1 species
ACGGGUGAGUAACACGUAGGAAUCUGCCCUAAAGUGGGGGGUAACUCGAGGAAACUCGAGCUAAUACCGCAUAAUAUCUUCGGAUUAAAGCUAGGCGUAAGUCUGGCGCUUUAGGAGGAGCCUGCGUCUGAUUAGCUAGUUGGUAGGGUAAAGGCCUACCAAGGCGACGAUCAGUAGCUGGUCUGAGAGGAUGAUCAGCCACACUGGGACUGAGACACGGCCCAGACUCCUACGGGAGGCAGCAGUGGGGAAUAUUGGACAAUGGGGGCAACCCUGAUCCAGCAAUGCCGCGUGUGUGAAGAAGGCCUUAGGGUUGUAAAGCACUUUAGGCGGGGAAGAAGGUUUGCAGUUUAAGAGAUAGCAAAUUUGACGGUACCCGCAGAAUAAGCACCGGCUAACUCUGUGCCAGCAGCCGCGGUAAUACAGAGGGUGCAAGCGUUAAUCGGAUUUACUGGGCGUAAAGGGCGCGUAGGUGGUUAAGUAAGUGAGAUGUGAAAGCCCCGGGCUUAACCUGGGAACUGCGUCUUAUACUGCAUAGCUUGAGUACAUGAGAGGGUAGUGGAAUUUCCGGUGUAG